rnacentral:rRNA from 1 species
GACGAACGCUGGCGGCGCGCCUAACACAUGCAAGUCGAACGAUAGAUGAAGAGCUUGCUCUUCAAAUCGAGUGGCGAACGGGUGAGUAACGCGUGAGGAACCUGCCUCAAAGAGGGGGACAACAGUUGGAAACGACUGCUAAUACCGCAUAAGCCCACGGCUCGGCAUCGAGCACAGGGAAAAGGAGCAAUCCGCUGUUGAGAUGGCCUCGCGUCCGAUUAGCUAGUUGGUGAGGUAACGGCCCACCAAGGCGACGAUCGGUAGCCGGACUGAGAGGUUGAACGGCCACAUUGGGACUGACACACGGCCCACACUCCUACGGGAGGCAGCAUUGGGGAAUAUUGCACAAUGGGGGAAACCCUGAUGCAGCGACGCCGCGUGGAGGAAGAAGGUCUUCGGAUUGUAAACUCCUGUUGUUGAGGAAGAUAAUGACGGUACUCAACAAGGAAGUGACGGCUAACUACGUGCCAGCAGCCGCGGUAAAACGUAGGUCACAAGCGUUGUCCGGAAUUACUGGGUGUAAAGGGAGCGCAGGCGGGAGACACAAGUUGGAAGUGAAAUCCAUGGGCUCAACCCAUGAACUGCUUUCAAAACUGUUUUUCUUGAGUAGUGCAGAGGUAGGCGGAAUUCCCGGUGUAGCGGUGGAAUGCGUAGAUAUCGGGAGGAACACCAGUGGCGAAGGCGGCGUACUUGGCACCAACUGACGCUGAGGCUCGAAAGUGUGGGUAGCAAACAAGAGGAGAUACCCUGGUAGUCCACACCGUAAACGACGAUUAAUGGUUGAUGGAGGAUUACCCUUUCAGUGCCGCAGUUAACACAAUAAGUAAUCCACCUGGGGAGUGCGACCGCAAGGUAGAAUCUCAAAAGAAUAGACGGGGGCCCGCACACGCAGUGGAGUAUGUGGUUUAAUUUGACGCAACGCGAAGAACCUUCCCAAGUCUUGACAUCCCUUGACGAACAUAGAAAUAUGUUUUCUCUUUGGAGCAAGGAGACAGGUGGUGCAUGGUUGUCGUCAGCUCGUGUCGUGAGAGGGUGGGGUAAGUCCCGCAACGAGCGCAACCCUUAUGGUCAGUUACUACGCAAGAGGGCUUUGGCCAGACUGCCGUUGGCAAAACGGAGGAAGGGGGGGGGGGCGUCAAAUCAUCAUUCCCCCUAUGACUUGGGGUACACCCCUACUACAAAGGCGUUAAACAAAGAGAAGCAAGACCGCGAGGUGGAGCAAAACUCAGAAACAACGUCCCAGUUCGGAGUGCAGGCUGCAACUCGCUUGCACGAAGUCGGAAUUGCUAGUAAUCGUGGAUCAGCAUGCCACGGUGAAUAAAAGCCCCCGCCUUGUACA